CGGCGGGUCUUAGGCGGGGGGCUAGGGGUCCCCUGAAAGGCAUACGCCUUGACCGUAAACCCUCUACAUGACGGGCCGAAAGCUGAGGUGAGGCGUACAAGAUCACCGCUCCCCCUCAUCCUCUCGAGCAAUGACUACUCGUCCUCUGGGGCCAGCGGUCACGGAGCGUCCUCUGUAAGGAGGGCGUAACCGUGUUCACCAGGCGAACCUGGCCAGGCCCGGGAGGGAGCAACCUAAGCUUGGACGUUUGGCGCUCAGAGGGGUGCGGGUACGAGUUAGGGGGCUGAGGGAGGCGGUGAAAACUGUACGUCGAGCCUCAGUGACCCGCCG
rnacentral:SRP_RNA from 1 species